UCAGGUUACUGAAGUUAUGACUUGAGGGCAAAUUUCCCAUUUUUGAGCUUGUGUGUUAUGAGGAUUUACAAUAUAUUGUUCCAUUAAAGCCAAUAAAGUUUAAUCAAUGUUUAAUAUUGGUUUAGAAAAUUUAAGGUGUUCUGAAUCACAGUAGCUUUUUCAGGUUAAAACUAUUUUAUGAUAUUGCCAAAAUAAUGACAGGAAAUGUACUUGUUAAACUGUUAAACUUCUUUUUUUUGGCUAUGAAGAUCUGAACUAUCUGCUGAAGAUUUGCUCUUAAUUGAGUUGAACUUUUUAGGCAGAGCAAAGCAAGGCUGUGUCAAUUCAGCUUGUGCGUAGUAAUUUCCACUGGGGCAUCAGAGUCUUGCUGAGCUGAAUCUGCUUCUUGUUGGUUCAAUAUUUCUUAUGAAGAAGAGCUUGAAGUAUAGAGCUUGAAUUAUUUAAAAUACUAAGUCAUUCUAGUUUCCAUUUUAUUAACAGGAUGUUGCAAUCAGUUGUAAACUAAUAGUCUUAUAAAGUGAUUGGCACAAAGACUUCUUGAACAAAACUUCAGUUAAGUACAAAAAGUAUCUAAUUUGGAGACUUAAAUUUUUCCUAUAGUCAUAAUAAUGGCUUUUACAUUGAAAGACUAAUAGGAAUUCUACAUAUAUUAAUUCUUUUAUAAAAUCUAGAUUCAAAUCAGUGUACUCUCCAUUUCAUUGCCUUACCUGAAUUAGUCCUGUUGGGUUGGUAAUAGAUUUUUUUUUUUUAAUGUACCCAAAUUUGAUUUAAAAGUAAACUCUAGUUAUUAAGCACUUUUAAAAAGAAACCCAGAAGCACAUUUUUUUCUGCACAAACCAGUUACAAAGUUCAAAAGUGUGUCUUAUGCUUUAAGACUCAGUUUUUAACUUUGUAAACCACAUCUGAAAAACAUGGCACUUCUGCAUUACUGUGUUUAAUUUCUUUUCCUUUUUUUUCUUCUUUCCUAUUUUGGUUAAGAGGAUAGUAGAAAAAGAUUUUCUGGCAUUCUUGUUCAUUCGGUUAAUUUGUAUACAGUUCCAAUUGCCAGUUGCUCAGAUAACAAGUGACAAGGCAGAAUUCUUUAAAGCAUUAAAGUUCCUUAUCCUGAUGGCUAGCAGAUUGACAGCUGCACAUUUGGCAUGCUUUGGUUUUUGGUUUUGGGGGGUUUUUUGGACUUUAUUUUUCAUUGCAGAUUUAUUUGGCAAUGUACAGUAA
rnacentral:lncRNA from 1 species